rnacentral:rRNA from 1 species
UACGAAGGGGGCUAGCGUUGCUCGGAAUCACUGGGCGUAAAGGGCGCGUAGGCGGCCAUUCAAGUCAGAGGUGAAAGCCCAAGGCUCAACCUUGGAAUUGCCUUUGAUACUGUUUGGCUUGAGACCGGAAGAGGUAAGUGGAACUGCGAGUGUAGAGGUGAAAUUCGUAGAUAUUCGCAAGAACACCAGUGGCGAAGGCGGCUUACUGGACCGGUUCUGACGCUGAGGCGCGAAAGCGUGGGGAGCAAACAGG